rnacentral:rRNA from 1 species
CUCAGCCUGCUAACUAGCUAUGCGGAGCCAUCCCUCCGCAGCUAGCUUCUUAGAGGGACUAUCGCCGUUUAGGCGACGGAAGUUUGAGGCAAUAACAGGUCUGUGAUGCCCUUAGACGUUCUGGGCCGCACGCGCGCUACACUGAUGUAUUAAACGAGUAUAUAGCCUUGGCCGACAGGCCUGGGUAAUCUUGGGAAAUUUCAUCGUGAUGGGGAUAGAUCAUUGCAAUUGUUGGUCUUCAACGAGGAAUGCCUAGUAAACGCGAGUCAUCAGCUCGCGUUGACUACGUCCCUGCCCUUUGUACACACCGCCCG